rnacentral:rRNA from 1 species
AUGGUGUCGUGGAGCGACGAGACCAGUGAGGAUUCAGUGCUGAACAUCUCCUCCUCCUACGAUGGCAUCAUCAAGCUUCCUGUUACGAUGCACGAUCCGAAUUUCAAUGGCACUGACGCAGAUGUGAAUGUUUUGUGUGAACACGAUGAGCCGGCCGAGCGCUUUGUUGCAUUUGAAGGGAUGCACACGGACAAGAGGUUCCCUGGAUGUGCUAAGAAGGAAGGCCUAAACUGUGGAGUAGUUCAAUGGAUUGAUUUUGAAUGGCCAGACUCAAUGGAGAAGGCAUUGGCCAAGCUAUGGGAUAUGUAUGAGGAGAUUAAUCAGCUAGGACCAAUGACAAUCUAG